rnacentral:rRNA from 2 species
UAAAAAGCUCGUAGUUGGAUCUGUGUAUCGGACGACCGGUUCGCUGCUCGCAGCGUUUAACUGGUCGGUCCGGACGUCCUGCCGGUGGGUGUCGGCGCGAGCCGGCGCCCGUAUAUCCCUUCGGGCUGCUCUUAACCGGGUGGCUCGUUGGGCCGGCACGUUUACUUUGAACAAAUUUGAGUGCUCAAAGCAGGCCAUCAGUCGCCUGAAAACUGUGUGCAUGGAAUAAUGGAAUAGGGCCUCGGUUCUAUUUUGUUGGCUUUUCUGAACUUGAGGUAAUGAUUAAUAGGGACAGACGGGGGCAUUCGUAUUGCGACGUUAGAGGUGAAAUUCUUGGAUCGUCGCAAGACGAACGGAUGCGAAAGCGUUUGCCAAGAAUGUUUUCGCUAAUCAAGAACGAAAGUUAGAGGUUCGAAGGCGAUCAGAUACCGCCCUAGUUCUAACCAUAAACGAUGCCAGCCAGCGAUGCGCCGAAGUUCCUCCGAUGACUCGGCGCGCAGCUUCCGGGAAACCAAAGCUUUUGGGUUCCGGGG